AUCCCAUGGCUCAGAUUGAACGCUGGCGGCAGGCCUAACACAUGCAAGUCGAGCGGUAGAGAGAAGCUUGCUUCUCUUGAGAGCGGCGGACGGGUGAGUAAUGCCUAGGAAUCUGCCUGGUAGUGGGGGAUAACGUUCGGAAACGGACGCUAAUACCGCAUACGUCCUACGGGAGAAAGCAGGGGACCUUCGGGCCUUGCGCUAUCAGAUGAGCCUAGGUCGGAUUAGCUAGUUGGUGAGGUAAUGGCUCACCAAGGCGACGAUCCGUAACUGGUCUGAGAGGAUGAUCAGUCACACUGGAACUGAGACACGGUCCAGACUCCUACGGGAGGCAGCAGUGGGGAAUAUUGGACAAUGGGCGAAAGCCUGAUCCAGCCAUGCCGCGUGUGUGAAGAAGGUCUUCGGAUUGUAAAGCACUUUAAGUUGGGAGGAAGGGUUGUAACCUAAUACGUUGCAAUCUUGACGUUACCGACAGAAUAAGCACCGGCUAAC
rnacentral:rRNA from 1 species